UGUCAAGCACUGACAAAGCAUGCAUGCGCAAUGCACAUCAUAGGCCUGAUUUCUUCAAUGCAAUGCCAUUUUGGAUAGUGUUGUGUGUGUCUUGCUGGAAACAAGAGAUGUAAUGCGAAGAGACAGUAAGUCGAUUUGGAUACAGUGAAGACAGAACUGAAUGCACUCAGCUGCCUUUCGACUGAGAUUUCCACCAUUUUAUCCCAACUGAAUUAAGUGCUGAAAGUUCUGAGUUGUGGUUUUAAGUCAAUGUUUAGGAAGUCCUCAUUAUAACCAUGUUCAUCUAUCACAGGCCACCUCUAUAGUAUCAAGUAUAGCCUUGUGGUGUUAGUUUGUUGUGGUUUUAAAUAGGUGAACUGAAUGUCAUUUAACUAUAUCAUCAGUGUACUAUUUAGUUGAGGACAGGGUAGUUUUGCUGGAUUUGAUGUGACUUAACAGUGAGACAACUCUUCUAAAGUACUGGUAAUGAUUUGCAGUGAAAGCCAACACUUUCACUCCUUCUUCAACACAUACGCAAAUUGACAGAGCACGCAUGGUUGUUGGUCAGUUUGAAUAUGUACUGCUACCUUGAGUGCAGCUUUCAUGAGGCUUUAGAUUGGUUUAGAAUGGUUCAAAGGCACGAGCACGUGACAUUAAAUGUUUUUUGUCCUUUUUGAACGAUCAAAAAUACGGGACCUCAUGCAUGGAUGUUGCAUACUUACCUUUCAUGCUCAUGGUCAGAUGUAUCAGUGUAUCAUCAGACUGUGACUCAAGGUGAAUUUAUGGUGAAUCAUGCUGGUGCAAGGUCUCCAGGGUUUUCUGUAUUUUCCCAAAAUUUCUGAGUAAGAGUGAGGUUGACGGUGUCACCACAACCACUGUCACUGAGAGAGUUUCCCUGAAUGCAAUACUUAAGCAAUAAGGUACGAGAGGCAGUACUGUAUCGUCCAUAAUGUACUGUUUAAGGGUGUUGUUAGGCCCGACGCAUAGCGUCAAACCCUUGAACAGUACAUUAUUGACGAUACAGUACUGCCUCGAGUACCUUAUUGCUUUUAUAAUACGGUUCAAAGUUCAAAGUACUUUAUUUGUCAUUGUCACAAAAACAACGAGACAGUAGAGGCAGCAACAGACAGCUAAAAAUUAAAAUUGCUGUGGCAGUUAAUGUGUAGCACUGAGGUUUAAGUCCUGAAGUUUGGAGAUGAGUUUGCCUGGAAGGAUCGUAUUGAAAGCAGAACUGUAGUCUAUAAAUAGAAUACGGAUGUACAGUAAGUGUUCUUUAGCUCCAGGUGCUCCAGUGCAGUGUGAAGCAGCAGGGCUACUGCAUCCUCUGUAGAUCUGUUCGCUUUGUAGGCAAAUUGGUGUUGGUCAAAGGAAGCUGGUGUGAUGCCUCUUCAUGACCAGCCUUUCCAAACAUUUAGCAGGUAUGGGGGUGAGAGCCACUGGCCUAUAGUCGUUCAGGCAUGUGACCGCAGUCUUUUUUGGCACAGGUAUGAUGGUUGAUGCUUUGAAACAUGGGGG
ensembl:lncRNA